GGGGGGGAUGUACCCAAGUGGAUCAGGGC
rnacentral:tRNA from 1 species